AUCGAAAAAUUCAUUGAGCACCGAUAAAUAAUAACUUUAAAUUAGAAUGUUGGGCCCAUACACGGCUUUUCUUCAUCUAGUAUUAUAUAAAUGCCAAAAGCGACUUAUAGUUUAAAUAUAUGAGUUUUAUACGAAGUGCUUUUUAUACGUGUCACUACUACAGAGAGUUUUGUAAAGUAAAUUCUGGGCAUUUGAAUCUUUUUGUUAUGAAAUA
rnacentral:lncRNA from 1 species